AAAGCAGUGGACAUCCAGAGUCGAGAGGUGAGUUAGACACAGGCACAGUGUCACGUAGGUGAUGGGUGUUUUCUGUGUCUGUGUGUCACUUUAUUCCAGUGUGUUUCUUUCUUUCAGAUGCUGAUGGACGGAGCGGUGGACAUCCACAGGUGAGUUAGACACGCGCACGUUGCCACACAUUGCAGACAGCAGACUUUGCUGCAUUGCUCACUUGUGCUUCUCUGUUUCAGAUGCUGAUGGACAGAGCGGUGGACCUGCACAGGUGAGUUAGACACAUGCAUGUUGCAGACAGUAGACUUUGCUGCUUUGCUCACUUGUGCUUCUGUCUUUCAGAUGCUGGGAGACACAGCGGUGGACCUGCACAGGUGAGUUAGACACAUGCAUGUUGCAGACAGUAGACUUUGCUGCUUUGCUCACUUGUGCUUCUCUGUUUCAGAUGCUGGGAGACACAGCGGUGGAGCUCCACAGGUGAGUUAGACACAUGCAUGUUGCAGACAGUAGACUUUGCUGCUUUGCUCACUUGUGCUUCUGUCUUUCAGAUGCUGUGGGACGGAGCGGUGGACCUGCACAGGUGAGUUAGACACAUGCAUGUUGCAGACAGUAG
ensembl:lncRNA